rnacentral:rRNA from 1 species
GUCUACCUACGGGAGGCAGCAGUGGGGAAUAUUGCACAAUGGGGGGGAACCCUGAUGCAGCGCCGCCGCGUGGGUGAAGGAGUAUUUCGGUAUGUAAAGCCCUAUCAGCAGGGAAGAACAAUGACGGUACCUGACUAAGAAGCACCGGCUAAAUACGUGCCAGCAGCCGCGGUAAUACGUAUGGUGCAAGCGUUGUCCGGAUUUACUGGGUGUAAAGGGAGCGCAGGCGGCGCGUUAAGCCUGGUGUGAAAGCCCGCGGCCCAACCGCGGGACUGCAUUGGGAACUGGCGCGCUGGAGUGCCGGG